AGAUUGAACGCUGGCGGCAGGCCUAACACAUGCAAGUCGAGCGGCAGCACGGGUACUUGUACCUGGUGGCGAGCGGCGGACGGGUGAGUAAUGCCUAGGAAUCUGCCUGGUAGUGGGGGAUAACGCUCGGAAACGGACGCUAAUACCGCAUACGUCCUACGGGAGAAAGCAGGGGACCUUCGGGCCUUGCGCUAUCAGAUGAGCCUAGGUCGGAUUAGCUAGUUGGUGAGGUAAUGGCUCACCAAGGCGACGAUCCGUAACUGGUCUGAGAGGAUGAUCAGUCACACUGGAACUGAGACACGGUCCAGACUCCUACGGGAGCAGCAGUGGGGGAAUA
rnacentral:rRNA from 1 species